ACGGGGGGAACUUCUCCUCCUCUGGGCACGGCGCGGGAGCUGCCCGGGGCUGUGGCACCGUGUCCUAGAGCGGGCGGUUCCCGGCCGGAGAGGCGAGGAGCGGGGCUGGAGGGUCCCGCGCUGCGGGCGGCUGUUCCAGACCUGAGAGACUCCUCGCUCGGUGCCUGUGGGAAAAGGCUGGGAGCCGCAGCGUUUGGUUAAAAGUAGCCGUGUAGGCCUCUGGUUUGUACCUGGAAAAACUGCUGAGCUGAAGCGGGAGCUCAGCUCCUGUGCCCGAGGGCGGGACAGCCCGGGCAGUGUAGGCGUUCCUUCAUGAGGCAAACGCUGCUUUCCCUGCGACCCUGCCUCUUCCAGCCCUGUCAGUCACCGCCAGGACUGGAGCGGCUGAAUCAAAACUGGGAAGCUUUGUAAAACGUGUUGAAGGCAAGACACGGUUGUUCUGUGUUGAAGUAGGACUUAUAGGUCUGAGAGAUGUUUCUCCCCUCAGGCAACAGCAGAACAUUGUGAUCCCGUUUCCUAAUAUCUUCCAUAUCUUCUGGGUUUUUUUUUCCUGUCCACCUCCCAAAACACACAGGGUUGCAACACAUGAUACUUGAAAGAUGAUAUGUGUGUAUUUCUACCAGCAUUACUUGACUCUGUGACCAACAUGCAAUUUUCUGCACCAGAAAACAAGAAAGAAACAGCAGUUGUUAACAAAUAAGCCAUGCCUGCUGCAGCUGAUGUAACUGUGGGGGACCUGCCUGUGAGACAUACAGGUCUAACUCCAGCUGGAAUUGAAGGAUUACAAGGAAAGAUUAAACAAUCCAGAAAAAGAGAAUGAACUCCUGAAGAAAAACUAUCAUAAGCUGCGUAAGUGUCUUCUGUAUGACCCAUGGGCAGCAAUGGAAAUCAAAGGAACAGCAAAUGAAACUGCAAAUUGCUAAACUAGAGAUGGCUAUCAAAUCUGAUUUAGCAGACAAAAAUGCAAUCCUUGACGAGAUCAAAGUAGAAAGAGGACAGGAGGUUAAACAAGAAAGGCUAGCAGAUGAUAAGGUGGAGAUGGCUGAAGAAAUUUAACAGGAGACAGAAAAGCUCUCACAUCUGUGAGAGGAGCAGUUAGCUGACCAAACAUCAAUUACUUCUGGAAAUGAGAGAGAAAUAACUGAAGAAUUGGAACCAGAAGAUACCAGAAGUGCAUUCUCUUGCUCUAAUAGCAGUUUACUGUAGCAGCCAUUACCUGUACCUGAAGUUGAAAAAUCUGGAUUAAAAUUACAUCACUUGGUUUUAUAAAGUCAUGAAUUACAUCAGAUGAAAUAAUACAGCAGCUGAGUGUAGAAUGCAGAUGAAACAAUUUCCCUGCAGAGGACACUCCACUGUCAGGUAGUCAGAGGAGUGACUUGCUCAGUGACACCCCAGAAGAUGAGCAGGAACUUGAAUGUAAAGAUACUGAUUUUGUUGAAUCUGUUUGAAAAAGAUAUUCCAGAAGCAAAGAAAUACCCUUGAACAAGACAUUGAUGGCCGUUGGAGAGCGUGUUUGUAGUGCUCUUAAGAAGACUCAAGAAGAUUACUCAGUCCUCUCACAGACAGUGAAGGAAAGUAUUCUCCUUGCUUAGAGUUUCCUGUUGCCUGUGGUAGCAGGGUCAUGAUUAUCAAUGGUGCGUUUUUCUCCUCCCUCUUCAUUUCAAUCCUCUUUCCUGUUGUGGUGAAGCUCAGAGAAGAAACUGAGAGUAUCUCUGUGAUAAAGCAGUCCCUCUGUGGGCACAUGAACCAGCCCCAAGCCUGGACACAGAGCACACAAGGUACCCUUCGCAGAGCAGGAAUUCCAGUUAGCCCUACUGGAAUGCCAGGCCAGUGUUACUUUGCUACUUCUACUCAUAGGGGUAAUUACCAUACCUUGAGCAGUGGGCAGCUGAGUAUUGAGGGACAGAAAUAGGCUUUCUUACCAUUUCCAUUAUCAUGUACAAUUUGUGUCCAUGCAGUAGCUAAAAUACUCAGAGAAGAGUAUAAAUACUCCAAGUUCCAGGAACACGAUAAAGAAAAUGCAAAGAAUCAAAUCUCCAUACCAUAGGAAAGUAAUACACAGAUUUGAUUCACUUCUUAAUGUGGCUGAAGACUUAAGCUUUUCUGCACUGAUAAUUUUUAUCCAAGUAGUUGUACAAAAGCACAUCUCCUCCAAAAAGGUAUUUUGUAGUCUCUCACUGGAAGACUGUUUUUGUUCUAUAUUUUAUAAUGGCCAUUGUCAUAAUUCCUAUUUGACAAAACUUAUUAGUGAUAUAAUUAUUUACCCUUGAAAGUCACCUUUCACAAAACUUCAAAAUUCUAAUCAUCAUCUGACAGAAUUAUUAUGACAGGAAGGACUGGUUUUUGUUACUAGUUAUUAUUCUGUCAAAAGCUAAUCAUUAUUAUGUAAUGACAGCUACUUCAGUAUUGAGGAGCAUUUCUCCCCCUAAUCAUAAGACAUUUGAACUAAUUUUUACUUUAUGUGCUUUGUAUCUAUUAAAGUGAUAGUAGUAGCUAAAAAUACUUUUAUUCUUUUUCUUAUCUACACUUCUGCCCUUCUCUGCAGAUGCUAUGCAGUUACGUUUUUCUGUUGUAUUCUUAACAUAUAACACUGCAUAUUAUCUGAAAAUUUAGGACUUUCAGACAAUUGAAAUGAAUUUUGCAAUAAUAUAUAUCAGAUCAUUGCAGAAGAGCAUGUUACUGUAUUUUCUUGGACAAAUUUAUUGGAAAAUGAUGUGUUCUCAAGAUCUGGACAUCUACUUCAAUUAAAUGUAAUGGCAUGAUAAAUAGAAUUCAUGAGUAAUAUGUACACAUUCUCUGAGAUGGAUAUUGGUUUGAGGGAAAAAAAAUAAACUUAGACACAUAAAAAUUCAUAGGUCACGACCACAUGGAGAUGUAAUCAUUCUCAGAUACCAUGAGCUUCAUUCACUCUAUUUGAGGACUGCAACCAUGGGUCUUUUUCAUGUCUUGUUCCUUUCACUGCUGGUUGUAUGGAAGUGGCCUCUAUGAAAUUUGAAGCAACUAAGUGCAUGACUAAGCAACAGGAUGUCAAGACAUCUAACAAGCCUCAGAGAUGACAGUAUGAAAACUGAUAAAAUAAUGUUUUGAUAUCAUUAAUUAUAGCUAUCCUAUUAAUUACAGCUGUUCUUACAGUAAAAACAAUACUGUCCUCUGAAGUCUGCUCUGAAGUUGACAUCUCACUGAAUGACUUGUUCAGAAUAUACAAAAUGCUUUGGCUCUCUAAGAAUAGCAUCCAGUCUGUCCUAUAGUAGGUCUUUCAGCAGGGUAAGUGAUGGAAGGUUUAUCCCGUAUUUUCCCUUCUCUAAACCACUUCUGUGUGUCCCAGCAGCCUAGAAGUUGCAACAUGAAGCAUCAUUGCAUGUCCCAGAGUAUUUAUCCUGAUUAAAAACGUAAAUACAUAACCUUGUUAUUUGUCAGCUGUGUAAUUUGCUUUGAAAAGAUAUGCUGUCAAGAUUAUUUGUUUUUAUUCAAAUUCCUUCUAUAGUCAUGUUCAGCAGCUUCAUUGCUUUUUGUGCAGGACUGGGAAAGAGUCUCAUUUUUGACUUAGCAGCAUGUUUUAAUCACAGCAGCAGAGAUUCUGGCCCUCUGGGCUUACUUAGAUAUUGUAAAGGAAUGCAAUUUUAAAUCAUGUCAGCUAAUUUCUGUAACAUAGAAAUUUUAAAUACUACUUUAAAACCCACAUACACAAAGAUGAAGGUACUUAGUUUAGUCUAGGGAAAUUAUCUUCUUUGCUCAUGCUUCACUAUUUUACAAUACACAGAAGCUUGGAAUUUAAAUAAUUUUGCAUUGCACAAACUGGAAAGAACAACUUGCUAUUUACGUACUAAUAAUUGUCCAGGCUGACUUGGAUCCAUCAUACACACAGUAUAGAAAAUGCAUUAAUUGGUAUAUUUUUUUACUUAAAAUUAUUUCUGCCUAUGCAUAAAUGUUUUCAAUGUAACUUGGAACACCUUUAUUUACACAUUGUGAAAAAUUAUUAAUUUAUAUAGGCAAUUGUUAUACAAAUAAUUUUAUUAAUUUCAGAGUUAAUUCCAGCACUGAUACUUUCAUUGAUGUACAUUCUAGUUCUUAGAGUCCUGAGUUUCCAGUAGGCUGAGUACCUGAAAAUUUUUGAUUCACAAGAUGAUAGUGCAGUAAUUGGAAAGCUCAAAGGAGCAGUGGAAGCCCUCCAUGCGCUGCCCUCAGUUGAGAGGGGAAUGGAAAGAUGACUACGAGGCAUGAAAGGAAGUUUGCCUACAGAAGAUCCUUCUCCCAGUGUAAAUACAUGCUUGAUAGUGCAUCAAAGAUGAGAUCUUUGUAAUUCCUACAGUAUAUUUAAUGUAUAAUUUAUAUGAAAAGGACGCUUGAUUUGUAGUUGUAAAGUUUUGUAUACUUUUCAGUCUGUUUGUUUUUAUAUUCCCCCCCUAAGGCUAAGAAUAUCUCCACAAUGGACAACGUCUUGUAAAUAAUUAAUACCUACAUGAUUGAACGAUGUGCUUUAUUUGCAUUUUUAAGAUUUUUUCCUACAUAAAACAGUAAUAAAAAUGCAAGUCAAAAUUUUAAUUUUUAAUAAAAAAACCAUAAGCCUUAGAAAACUGAUUAAAAAUACUUUUAUGUUAUCCCUAAUCACCCCACUAAAUGGAAUGCCUGUGAUUAGCCUCAUUAAGAAUUUUAUACUGUGAAGAUUUUAUUAAAAGCAAUAUAUGAAAAUUACUUGGAUUAAUGUGUUAAUCUGCCUCUUUAAAAUGCUAAUAUCCAUUUUAUGCACAUUAAAUCUCAGUAUGUGUUUUCUUUGAUGCAUGCAGUUCCUAUCAAUUAAAUAUAAAAAAUUAGGCUAGUUGCAGGACUUAUUAAAUUACUGCAACCUUUUUUUAAAUAACUUUUACCCUUCUACUAACAUUAUAAUCAGCUGUUUAUGGUUACCAUAAUUUGAAGUAGGGGGAGGGCAGGCACGAUCAUUUUCUGUACAGUGCUUGAUUUACUUGCAGCCAGCAUCUGUCAAAGCACAAAAAGAAGCCAUAGAGUAUCAGAUUUUGCUUCACCUACUUUGGGCUUUAGGGAUGGGCAACUGUUUUCAUUUGGGUUUUGUCACGUUUAGAACUUACAUCAAACACAUACAAUAAAUUGUUGUAUCUGAAUAACUACUGUCUAGUGUGGAAAGUUAAUUUUACAGCUUUUAACCAAUCUCAGUGAAGGAUUUAAUUGAUAUUUUUAAUGGAGCUGUGAAUCAAUGCUGCAAAAGGAUUGUCUCUUGAGAACGAGGAUAUAAUACAUUUCAUUUUUUAAUUUACUUUUUUAUUUGUCAUUUUCUUCAAAGGAUUUUAUAGACUGUGGAUUUCUACUGUUUGCAAACAGGCUAUGUUUCUUCAUAAGCAUAUGUAAAGUAUUCAGAGAGAUAAGUAAUUUAUUAAAAUCUACCUAAUUUGCCGUGAUAUAUUAAAUCUCUGCUUCAGUGAUCACAGACCAUUUCAUUUAGAGAAUUAGGCAUUCCCUCUUUGUGUGAUUAAAGCUCUGGAAAAUGAGUUCUUUGCUCCUAUUUGUGAACAUUCAAAGCCUGCUAAUGGCAAGAAGAUGGAAUAGAUUAUGAGACAAUUCAUUACAGUUCAACAGAAAAAAAACUCUGCUAUAAUGCAGAAAUGCAAGUAUGAAUAUCUGCAUAUAGUUUGAACCAUCUGUGCUCUAAUGGCUUCAGUAAUGGCUGUUCAUCUUCAGUAGGCUUUGAAAUGACAUCCAUACAAUAUUAAUUUGUUGAUGUACAUUAUGAGGCCAAUGGAAUGAAUAUAUUCUGACCACAGAAAUCUCUGAAUUCCAGCAUGGUCUGCUGGUUGACUCCAUUUUAGGACCUACCAUCUUCAGUAGUACUUCUCAUCCACACUUUGCCAAUCCUUACAGCGUUUCAUUCCUCUGGAACUUUAGGAGACCACAGACAGCUGCAUUCCUAAACCCCUCCAUUCUUCAGUUAAUGGCCAUAUGUUUGUUGUCAUUUGGGCUGGCACUUAGUUCAUCAUUUUGGCCACUAUUUCUAGCUUUUUUUGGCUCUGUGCAUCUAUAUUGUCAAUAAGACUGUUAUUAUACAUUACAAUAAUUUGAAACAGCCAGAUCCAACACUGAGAUUAACUGAGUGGCUUUUUAGAAAUUUAGUUGUGGUAUUCUGUCAGGAGGUUCUUAUUAUUCUUCUAAUACUUUGCAAACCAAACUAAAUAUCCUGCACAUAAACAAAGAAGCAAAUUAUAUUGAGUUUUUGUGUGUGACUGUUUACUGACUUGCAGGAGAACUAUGUUAACUGGUGCUUGUUUUCUUCUGAAAUAAACCAUGUGGUAAAAUUAGAAAAUCAGUGAUGUUCAUCUCAGUUAAACAUUUACAGUAACACCCUUAACACUUAAUCUUCACCAUCUGAAGUUAGAAAUUUAAAAACCAAGCGUUCAUAUAUUCAUUAAACACAGAUCUCUUCACUAAGUUACUGCAAAAUAUUCCAGUUAACAUUUGGUUACAUUGUGUUAACUGUUCUCAGUGACUCCACCAUUAACAUGUAUAAUUUGCCUCAGGUUCCCAGACUUACUUCUUCAUAAGACUCACUGUUACUCAGUUUUGGAUUUUAAAAAAAUAAUCCUGAUUUCUGUUCAUGUUUAUUGCUAAAACAGAUAUAAUAUUCAGCAAGGAUUUUCCCAACAGAUGGAUUGUAUUAUCUUAUGCAACAUAAACAUGCGAUCAUACCAGAAAAUUUUGUUCUUGCAUUAAGUACUCUGUAUUUUCAAAAUGAUCUUAAAUCUUAAUUCUAAAUGCUACAUUGUGCAGGGAAAGUGGAAAAUGUAACCUAAUACUAUUUUGUCUGAAUUUUAGCAAUGAAUAGCUUGAAGAAAACUUGCAUCUAUGUAAUCUCUAGGCUAAGGUGCAAAGGAGCCAUAUUAAAGUUGGGUACUACCAUGUUUUAAAAUGUGACUCAAUUAACAUUCAAUUUUUGUGGAAUAGAUGAAGUUUUACUAUGGUGUAACUUGGUCACCACAGUGGUUCUACAUAAGAUGAAAUGAAAGUGUCAAAUAAUCAGUUUUGUUAUUAUAUCUUUUCCCAUUCGUUGUUAAAACUUAUGAUAUUUUCUGGUGUGAUAUGAUAACUGCUGUUGUCCUGGUUCCCAGGAAUGUUGAUCAAGAUGGAAAUUUUUUUAGCUCAAAUAAACUUUAUCUGUUUUAAAUGUUGCUUUUACCUUUUGUAGCCUUAACCUAGGAACAGAAGCUAUGAAAGUAAGUACAUCAUGAACCAGGUAACAGCUCUGUGAAGUCAAUCAGUCUUGCUGUAGAGUAAGUCAAAGCUUAUCUCAUUAUAUAAGAGUAGAUAUAACAUGACAAAAUUUAUGACUUCAUAGAUCAAUAUUGAAGUUAAUAAUAAUAUUGUUUUAAAAUGCUUUUUCUUGUUUCAAGGCAUAGUGAGACAUAAUCAUAGUUCAAGAAGUCUCCAAACAUAUCAAGACUAACUGCUAAAUUUAAUUUUGUUGUUUUGUGUUGGAACUGAGAAAUAAAUUAAAAUACAGGUUUAAAAUUGUGCUACAAACCAUAUUUUAUAUUUCAGAGCCAGAGAAAUAUUACCUGUUUUAAUUACAGACAGGUCUUUUUACAGUGACUUGCCCAUCAGUUUUUUGAGAUUAUCCAAAAGAUAACAAAUAUUUUUAUAUGACUUCACCUACAUUACUGUUUAUGUUAUAGCUCUUAGCAAUUGGACUAGAUCCCAAUCCUGCAAGUGAUACUGAAUUGGAAGAAAUAAAUGUAUGAAAUUAACUGCAGAAUACAAGUUCAGGUUAUUACCUUAGGAUGCACAUGAUAAAAAUUUGCUUUUGGCACAGUAAGCCCCAUGUGUACUGCUUUUGCUUUUUGUUUCUUUUUGUUAUUUAUGACAAAUUUUAGUUAUUUUUCCAUCUUUUAAAAUGAAAUGAGGCAACUUCUGAGGAACUUGAAUCAUGCAUCUGUGGGUUUUAGAAGCAAUUUAAAAGUUUUUUUUUUUAUUUUUAAGGUCCUUGCUGAAUCAUACUUCAAACUCUCAGCAUCUGGUAGCAUCAAAGUCUAGCUCAGUCCUAGCAAAAUUUCAUCUCCAACAAGAGCUGCUUGUAACUGAUCAGCAUUUUUCUAGUAUAUACACCAGAUAUUUCCUCAGCACACUGCCUGGAGAAGAAAAUGGGAAUUUAAAAAUGGAACCUUCCAUUUUAGAGAAUUGAUAUAGACCACACAGUCAACUUAGGAUGGUCAACCUUACCACACCUGAGAAUAAAUUCUGGCUCCACAAAAGCAAGGAAUGAAGACUGUAUCCCCAAAGGACUACCUGACAUUUGCAUACCCUAAAAGCAGGUGUGCAAAGUGAGUCAACUUUUUAAACAGCCCAGAAGUCAUGACGGGAUUAAUGUCUGGUUUUGCUUAAUUGACCCACUUGCCUAUCCAUACUUAUUUUGCAUAGAAUAUACAGACAUUUGAUUUUUUGAAAUAAAAUUUAAUUGUUUUCUCACAGUGAAUAGAUUUGUGUUGCCUUCUGCAAAAUGUUCAGCUUUCCACUAUAAUCACAGAUAUUCUCCUUUUUUAUCAUAUAAUUUUUACAAAGAGGUAAGGCUUGCGUAGAAGUCAUUCAUCCUCUCGGUUCUGUUUUUCUGUCUGUAAAAACUUUAGGAACUUUCCCUUUCUAAAUUUUCAGAAAAAUGAGGGUGUUGUGUGUGCUUUACUUAAAUCUUCAGUGGAAGAUGUGCACGCCCAGCAUUUCACUGACAAUCUUAAAGAUGCCUGAAGGCUAAGGAGGGCCAUGUGCAGAUCCAGUCAUACACUAAAAGUGGAAGGUGCUUCACCACUCUGAACAAACAGGGUUCUAUCAGAGGUGUGAUGGAAGUGACAAAAUAUAAACACCAAAAUCUUCAAUUUUAUACUAAUUUGGUUUUUUGCAAUGAUUGGCAAAACCUUGAAACUCUUUUGUACUCCAGCUUAAUAUCUCUCCACACUGUGGGGGUAACAGGAGAAUGUAU